GACAGAGGUCCCGAGCGUUAGGCGGAAUCACUGGGCUUAAAGCGUGUGUAGGCGGAUCCGUAAGUACCUUGUGAAAUCCCACGGCUUAACCGUGGAACUGCUCGGUAUACUGCGGAUCUUGAGCCACCUAGGGGCAACCGGAACAAACGGUGGAGCGGUGAAAUGCGUAGAUAUCGUUUGGAACGCCAAUGGUGAAAACAGGUUGCUGGGGGUGUGCUGACGCUGAGACACGAAAGCCAGGGGAGCAAACGGG
rnacentral:rRNA from 1 species